GAUGAACGCUGGCGGCGUGCCUAAUACAUGCAAGUCGAGCGAACAGACGAGGAGCUUGCUCCUCUGACGUUAGCGGCGGACGGGUGAGUAACACGUGGAUAACCUACCUAUAAGACUGGGAUAACUUCGGGAAACCGGAGCUAAUACCGGAUAAUAUAUUGAACCGCAUGGUUCAAUAGUGAAAGACGGUUUUGCUGUCACUUAUAGAUGGAUCCGCGCCGCAUUAGCUAGUUGGUAAGGUAACGGCUUACCAAGGCAACGAUGCGUAGCCGACCUGAGAGGGUGAACGGACAGACUGGAACUGAGACACGGUCGAGACUCCUACGGGAGGAAGCAGUAGGGAAUCUUCCGCAAUGGGCGAAAGCCUGACGGAGCAACGCCGCGUGAGUGAUGAAGGUCUUCGGAUCGUAAAAUUCUGUUAUUAGGGAAGAACAAAUGUGUAAGUAACUAUGCACAUCUUGACGGUACCUAAUCAGAAAGCCACGGCUAACUACGUG
rnacentral:rRNA from 1 species